GACAGAGGUGCCAAGCGUUAGGCGGAAUCACUGGGCUUAAAGCGUGUGUAGGUGGAUUUGUAAGUACCUUGUGAAAUCCCAUGGCUCAACCAUGGAACUGCUCGGUAUACUGCGAAUCUUGAGCCACUUAGGGGCUACCGGAACAAGCGGUGGAGCGGUGAAAUGCGUAGAUAUCGCUUGGAACGCCAACGGUGAAAACAGGUUGCUGGGGGUGUGCUGACGCUGAGACACGAAAGCCAGGGGAGCGAACGGG
rnacentral:rRNA from 1 species